rnacentral:pre_miRNA from 1 species
GUAGUAUUCCCUCUGUCCCAAAAUUCUUGUCUUAAAUUUGUCUAAAUACAGAUGUAUCUACUAGAUACAUCCGUAUCUAAACAAAUGUAAGACAAGAAUUUUGGGACGGAGGGAGUACAAA